CCCAAUUGAUUGAUGGUGCUUGCACCUGAUUGAUUUUCCGUUGCCAACGAGUGGCGGACGGGUGAGUAACACGUAGGUAACCUCGCCCAGAAGCGGGGGACAACAUUUGGAAACAGAUGCUAAUACCGCAUAACAGCGUUGUUCGCAUGAACAACGCUUAAAAGAUGGCUUCUCGCUAUCACUUCUGGAUGGACCUGCGGUGCAUUAGCUUGUUGGUGGGGUAACGGCCUACCAAGGCGAUGAUGCAUAGCCGAGUUGAGAGACUGAUCGGCCACAAUGGGACUGAGACACGGCCCAUACUCCUACGGGAGGCAGCAGUAGGGAAUCUUCCACAAUGGGCGCAAGCCUGAUGGAGCAACACCGCGUGAGUGAAGAAGGGUUUCGGCUCGUAAAGCUCUGUUGUUAAAGAAGAACACGUAUGAGAGUAACUGUUCAUACGUUGACGGUAUUUAACCAGAAAGUCACGGCUAACUACGUGCCAGCAGCCGCGGUAAUACGUAGGUGGCAAGCGUUAUCCGGAUUUAUUGGGCGUAAAGAGAGUGCAGGCGGUUUUCUAAGUCUGAUGUGAAAGCCUUCGGCUUAACCGGAGAAGUGCAUCGGAAACUGGAUAACUUGAGUGCAGAAGAGGGUAGUGGAACUCCAUGUGUAGCGGUGGAAUGCGUAGAUAUAUGGAAGAACACCAGUGGCGAAGGCGGCUACCUGGUCUGCAACUGACGCUGAGACUCGAAAGCAUGGGUAGCGAACAGGAUUAGAUACCCUGGUAGUCCAUGCCGUAAACGAUGAGUGCUAGGUGUUGGAGGGUUUCCGCCCU
rnacentral:rRNA from 1 species